UACGGGAGGCAGCAGUGGGGAAUAUUGCACAAUGGGCGCAAGCCUGAUGCAGCCAUGCCGCGUGUAUGAAGAAGGCCUUCGGGUUGUAAAGUACUUUCAGUCGUGAGGAAGGUGUUAAGGUUAAUAACCUUAGCAAUUGACGUUAGCGACAGAAGAAGCACCGGCUAACUCCGUGCCAGCAGCCGCGGUAAUACGGAGGGUGCGGGCGUUAAUCGGAAUUACUGGGCGUAAAGGGCACGCAGGCGGUUAAUUAAGUUGGAUGUGAAAUCCCCGGGCUUAACCUGGGAAUGGCAUUCAAGACUGGUUAGCUAGAGUCUUGUAGAGGGGGUAGAAUUCCAUGUGUAGCGGUGAAAUGCGUAGAGAUGUGGAGGAAUACCGGUGGCGAAGGCGGCCCCUGGACAAAGACUGACGCUCAUGUGCGAAAGCGUGGGGAGCAAACAGGGAUUAGAUACC
rnacentral:rRNA from 1 species